AUACGGAGGAUGCGAGCGUUAUCCGGAUUUAUUGGGUUUAAAGGGUGCGUAGGCGGUUUGUCAAGUCAGCGGUGAAACGCAAGGGCUUAACCCUUGACCUGCCGUUGAAACUGAUUGACUAGAAUGCGGAUGCUGUGGGAGGAAUGUGUGGGGUAGCGGUGAAAUGCAUAGAUAUCACACAGAACACCGAUUGCGAAGGCAUCUCACAAAUCCGUGAUUGACGCUGAGGCACGAAAGUGUGGGGAUCAAACAGGAUUAGAUACCCUGGUAGUCCACACUGUAAACGAUGAUGACUCGCUGUCGGCGAUAUACAGUCGGUGGCCAAGCGAAAGCGAUAAGUCGUCCACCUGGGGAGUACGACCGCAAGGUUGAAACUCAAAGGAAUUGGCGGGG
rnacentral:rRNA from 1 species